UGAUGAGAGUGAAAGUAUUUUGUUCACCACGGAAGACGUGAAAGAUUUUGAUAUUCGAGUUUCAUCAAUCCUUACUGGAGUUAUUUUUCACAUUUUGAAAGACAGAGCAGUCCAUGUUUCACCAGAAGAAGAAUUUACAGAUUUAUUGGGAAAAAGAAUACCGUUAUAUAUGCACUUUCUUCCUGUGCAGUUAUUAAAGGCUGGACGCUGGAAUUUUCCUGGAUCAUACGUUACGGAAACAUUAGAGAAAAUAUUUAAUCAGCAAUCAAUACAAUUUAUCUUUGAAAAGAAUAUGGAAGAAGACUUUAAAUUUGGAUUGUUCGAAGACCUUAGAAAAACAACAGAAUCCGCAUAUGAGCCUCCGAAGUAUACUG